rnacentral:rRNA from 1 species
AUACGGAGGAUCCAAGCGUUAUCCGGAAUCAUUGGGUUUAAAGGGUCCGUAGGCGGGUUUGUAAGUCAGUGGUGAAAGUUUUCGGCUCAACCGGAAAAUUGCCAUUGAUACUGCAAGUCUUGAAUCGUGAUGAAGUGGUUAGAAUGUGUAGUGUAGCGGUGAAAUGCAUAGAUAUUACACAGAAUACCGAUUGCGAAGGCAGAUCACUAAUAAUGUAUUGACGCUAAGGGACGAAAGCGUGGGUAGCGAACAGCAUUAGAAACCCUAGUAGUCC